AGCAGCAGGGAAAGAGUGGAAAUGUCUGCUUCCAGAACAUGAACAUGGACUCUGACUCAGAGACUGAAGCAGUGGAUCUGCUGGGACCUGGUACUGAACAAGAGCAGGAGGAGAUUCCAGAACCACAUGUCUCACAGAAAAACCAGAGUGCAAUACCAGCUCUGGCAGAGCUGCCCAUUCAGAUACAGAAGACCACUUACCCCUAUCUACCUUCACUCAGGGAAACAACAAAGGGAGGGCUUCACGAGGUCUCAGAAAAUGUAUAAGCAGCAGCAAUUAAUUAAAUAGAAGCUGCAUUGAGCUGAUGAUCUAUAAAUUCCCUGCCAUCCAGGGGUUGUUGAUUAUCUGACUGACCUGGCUCUCUGUUGUGUUCCUGAACUCUGUGUUUGUUGACACUGGAUGUCAUUUAUCCGAAUUGGAUAUAACUAAACUCUGCUUGGGAUCUGAGGCUUGUAUUUACUAAAAUAAGAAUGGUCUAUUGGAGCUCAGAUUUGAAAAGACUUCUGCAUGAAGCAUUUUGAUCCAAAGCACCAUACUGAGAAGAAUUCUGGCUUCCUACAAAAUCUCUAUCUAUAUAGCAAAUCAAGAGAAGUGUAAAAGUGACUGUAACUAUUACUGAGUCCAGAAACCAUAUUUACUCCUUACCGUAUACUCGUUAUAUGCUGUUGUACAGGCUGGUGCUGAAAAUGUUCAGGCCACUGAUGAUGUAGGCAGAAUGAGGGUGAAGACUGAAGGCAGCAAGCAGUCUGGUACAAGGGUGCAUGCUUUUGGCAAGCAGAUGCUGAGUAUUCUGUAUGAGGAUUUGGGCAACAGGAAGUCAAUGGAGAUGGUGAUGCAUUGCCAGCCAGGGAAAGGCAUUCUUGCUGAUUACAAUGGUGGUUCAGUGGAUGAUGAUAUGGACAAGGGCGACAGCAUUGUGACAACACUUGUGGAGUUCUUUGGUCAUCUACAGGCAGGAAUGAUGUUUUUAGGAUACCAUUAAGCUGAAGGCACCCAUUUGCACUCACUUUUCCUUUUGGGGUUUCCUUAGCUGGGAGGUUUUGGACUGCAACAGUGCCAUCACUGGUUGAAUGGAGAUCAAGAUUUGUUGAAUUAGAUGGAAUGCCACCAUUGUUCAUCAUUACGAAGUCACUGUUUCCAUUGCUAGUAGCCAUGCUACAAAUUUCUGGCAGCCUGCAAUGUGUCUAAAAGGAGAAUGGAGAGGAAAAGGAAAUAUUAAAUACUAAAAAUGCAAAAGAUGCUUUAGCAAAGUUAAUACUAAACAACAAGUCAUAACUUGACAGCACCUUCAAGGAGUAUUUUGCUUCAAAAUCCACCUCCAAAGGUUCUUGUUUCAUAUUUCUCACCAGCCCCUCUCAAUCAGAAGAUCAUCAUCAUCAUCAUCAUCAUCAUCAUCAUCAUCAUCAUGCUACCUCUCCUCAAGGCUUCCCCUUACUGAACAAGCACCACCAAGAAUCAACUGAAGCAGCUUACCAAUCAAGAAAGAAGACUUUUAUUUAAUUUUGAGAUAACUGUGUGGCUGAAGUAGCAUGGCUUUCUUGCAAACUGUUGCUGAUUGCAACUUCUAUGAUGCUUGACCACUGGCUAUGCUUCCUAUAGGGGAUGGGAUGCACAGUCCAAUCUUAUCAGCACUGCAUGUUUAUGUUCCUCAGCCCAGCCUAUAUACAAACACCAUCAAGACAAGAAAAUGGGCCAAAAAAUGGACUGUGUGUAAGUGAAACAGGCAAGAGGAGUACAUUGUUAUGCCUUCUUCUGUUCUCAGAAAAACUUAAGCUGUGGUGAAGUCUCUGACUCUACAUGGGAAAAGAUAGCAACAGCGAACUCACUAAUCAGCCAUAACACAGCAGUAAGCAACAAACAGACCCCUCUAACAGGAUCCAGAUGUGUAAGAUUGAUAGAGAUUUGACCAAGUAGACUCACACAGCUGUAAUUGUUGCCAAAUAUAUUUCUAUCAAGUGGUGAAUAUUUAUGUAACCAACAAUUGCCUGUUUGUUUUUAUUUACUUAACCUUUGUGCUACAGUAAAUAUAAUUUGCACAUGCAGUGUUGAAUGUCUUAGUAUUAACACCUUAAUAAUGCCAAUUAAACCCAUUUCAGCUCCAUAUUGUAACACAACACAAUGUUUAGGGGGAAAUGAAUAUAUCUGCAAGGCA